rnacentral:rRNA from 1 species
AGAGUUUGAUCAUGGCUCAGAACGAACGCUGGCGGCGUGCUUAACACAUGCAAGUCGAACGAGAACUCCUUAAGCUUGCUUAAGGAUAGUAAAGUGGCGUACGGGUGAGUAACGCGUGGGUAAUCUACCCUUGAAUCUGGAAUAACUAACCGAAAGGUUAGCUAAUACCGGAUAAUAUCAUUUUGGCUUUGGUCUGUAUGAUCAAAGGUGGCCUCUACAUGUAAGCUACUGUUUAAGGAUGAGCCCGCGUACCAUUAGCUUGUUGGCAGGGUAAUGGCCUACCAAGGCGACGAUGGUUAGCUGGUCUGAGAGGAUGAUCAGCCACACUGGAACUGACACACGGUCCAGACUCCUACGGGAGGCAGCAGUGAGGAAUUUUGCGCAAUGGGGGAAACCCUGACGCAGCAACGCCGCGUGAGUGAUGAAGGCCUUCGGGUCGUAAAGCUCUGUCAAGUGGGAAGAACCUGCAUGAUGUCAAUACCAUCAUGCACUGACGGUACCACG